CCUACGGGAGGCAGCAGUGGGGAAUCUUGCGCAAUGCGCGAAAGCGUGACGCAGCAACGCCGCGUGAGGGAAGACGGCCUUCGGGUUGUAAACCUCUUUCAGUUGGGACGAAGCCACGGCGGUUAAUACCCGUCUGUGGUGACGGUACCUUCAGAAGAAGCCCCGGCUAACUACGUGCCAGCAGCCGCGGUAAUACGUAGGGGGCAAGCGUUGUCCGGAAUCAUUGGGCGUAAAGCGCGUGUAGGCGGCUUGGUAAGUCCGCUCUGAAAGCCCGGGGCUCAACCCCGGGAGGCGGGUGGAUACUGUCAAGCUCGAGUCCGGAAGAGGCGAGUGGAAUUCCUGGUGUAGCGGUGAAAUGCGCAGAUAUCAGGAGGAACACCAAUGGCGAAGGCAGCUCGCUGGGACGUGACUGACGCUGAGACGCGAAAGCGUGGGGAGCAAACAGGAUUAGAUACCCUGGUAGUCCACGCCGUAAACGAUGGGCACUAGGUGUGGGAGGUGUCGACUCCUCCGUCGCGACGACUACGCAUAGUGCCGCCGUCGGGAGGUACGGCCGCGACGGAACGUAAACGUACGUUAAAGAAGUAGUUACGGCGUGAGACGNGCCGACGGACGACGACGAGGGAGGAGG
rnacentral:rRNA from 1 species